GGUCCGCGAUCUCCGUUAGCUCCAAGGCGGAAGGAUCUGUCGUCCCACUGCAGUGUCGGGUUUCCGUUGUCAAAUAGGAAGUGAAGCCACGGGCCGCCAUCCUUAAGCAAUUCCCGCUAUCUCAGACUCCUGGUCGUCCGCUGACUUUGGUCGGGCUUACUGCCACCUCGAGGUAGCGGGAAGACCUGAGGAGUUGAGAUUCCCGGCUUGUGGUUGGAUAAAUGAGUUCCAGUGUAAAAUGGUGGUUUCCGUGAAAAGGACGUGUGAGAACGAAAUUAAUAGGGAAGCAUGCUCGUGGCAUCUUCAUUAAAGUCAGGAACCACAGACGGGAUGGUUUAUAAAGAAUAGAGGUUCCAGAGGCAGGGAUAUUCAAGAACUGUGUGCCAGCCUUCCUGCUGCAUCUUGAUGCGAUAGAGAGAGUCACAUGCCCAGACAGACAAGCCUGCCUGCUCAGAUCUCACUUCUUCCUGUAAAGCCACUGGUGGUGUUUAUGGAAAGUCCAUGCUGGAAUAGAGCUAACAAGGACUGGGCUCUGCCCUCAUCGCCUCAUUUGAAGAACCUCCUUCUACAAGCCUCAUUUCAAUUAGCAACUCCAAUUUAAGGAUUGAGUUUCCAAGGCAUGGACUUUUGGGUGUCUGCUGAAACCCUGGCAAAGAAGGACGGCAUGCCUACCUCCCUUCUAGCCUCCCCUCCUCUUUCUCUCUCCUCCUUUCUGUUUAAAGCAGAGAUCAAGGAAUAAAAGCAAGGAUUGUUCUAUGG
ensembl:processed_transcript 1700001G11Rik RIKEN cDNA 1700001G11 gene